UGUAAAUGCAGCCUACUUUCUCUCUCCUAACCUCCUCCCCGAUCCAUUGAGUUUUCCAGGCAUACUGAAUUUUAUAUCUCUUCCGAUCCAUUGGAGCGUGCUUUAAGUAUUCUCUCCUCAUAAAGCAUGCAAAGAACCAGCUUAUUGCAAUUGUCUGAUGGUUCUUGCUGAUUCCCUUGCCGUGUAAAUUUUCCAGUGAAGCGACUUCACAGCUCUAAUCUCAUAAUCGUUUCCCUUUAAUUGCGGCUUUUAGGCUUUCUCUUCUCCAUUGAAACAACUUUUGAGCCGUAAAAAGUAGAACAAAAUGGUGUAUUUAACGAUGAUUACUCGUGUAAUGGAUGGUCGAUGUGAAAGAUGCUGAAUAUUACAAGAAGCAAAUCAAAAGCUUUGUUCAAAAAUCUUUCAAAUUAAAAGGUCAGAAUGAUCCUUCUAUAAUGUCUGCUGAGAGUGGACCUUACAUAUUUCAGUAUCCUUCAUUUUUUUCCCAGCAAUUUUUAUUGUUUAUAUGCAAUGUGUGAAAUUAAGUGCAAUGUAGUCAUGCAGAUGUUAAUUAUGUUGGUCUGUUGUUUGUUAAUUGUUAGGAGUGGGAGAAAGGUGGCGGUCGGGGGUACGGGAUUUUAGGAUUCCCGUUGGUUUGAUUUCAAAAUAUAUGGCUAUUCUAUUUAUUUCAGCUUUUUCUAAAGGUAUUCCACAAUGGAGCAAUAAAUAGUAUUUACCUGCUUGAUUGUUCAAUGAAAUUUUUUUAUAGGAUUGCUUGUAUAGUUGGUAAUAUCUUAUUUGUUGCUUUAUUGGUGCUCAUUUUAUUUUGCUCCUUAAACUGCUUGUAUAUGAAGUAAUAUGUUCACUAAUAUUUAUGCUUAUUUAAACCUUGCCCAUUUCAGUACUUUUGUGCAAUCCAAUUUUUUUUUUUCUUUUGGAUUGUGUUGGCCUAUCUCAUUUGACUUCAGAACUGACUUUACUGGUUGAAGCUUGCAUAUUAGAAAGAUUUGAAGAGUGGUUUAUUGUUCUUUCAUAGCAUUCAUCCUGGUAGUGGUAAGAGUGGUUAUAGUUUUAGUUAGUUUCAAAGCCAACAAAUGACAUUUAAUUUCGUAAUUUGGUCAUUCUGAAAAUUCUUGCGGCACCCUUUGGAGUGGUACCAAAAUCUAUAUUCUAGCCUAUGUUUAGUUAUAAAUGACUAUUUUCUGAUAGUGAGUUGUGGCUCCCAAGUCCCAACUUUCUCCAUGCUUCCAAAUAUUGAUAUACAGUGAUGAAUUACUAUUAUUCUGAAAUUACUGAAGCAGAAGCCUAGGGUUGGUUAUGAGAUUACUAAGGCUUUCUUCAAUUGAAGCCUUCUGAUUGUGUAAUCCCUUUUCACAGUUAAAGCUUUUUAUAAUAACCAAGUUUACUGCUACACGUUCUCAGUGAGUUUUUGUGUGUUGCUUGCUAAGGCAGAUAAACACUAGCAAUGGUUUCUAAUGCGAUAAAUUUACACCUAACAGACCUUUUAAGCCCAAGCUUUUGACUGAGGCUUAGACUGGCUAAGUGGCUUGUAUCUCUAUUAAUUCUUCGCAUUUGAACAUGUACCGUAUGCUGAGAAUUUUUAUAAGGUUAUUCUUUGUUUAUACCAUCUUGAGCAGGUUUAUCGAGCUGGCUUUUUCUGUUGUAAGGUUCAUACUACAGACAGGAUAAUUCUUUGUAAACUACUUUUACAGAGUAAUUUCCUUAUAGUCCAAUAAUUCACCUAUCCUAAAUGAAACAAUUCUAAUAAAUAUCAUGUCAAACAGUACGAUGGUGGGACAAACUUCUGGAGAACAGCUAGAGGUCCAUUUAUCACUACUUCUUACAAAUAUGAUGCUCCUCUUGCUGAAUAUGGUUUUACCAGGCAGCAGAAAUAUGGUCACCUAAAGGAAAUUCAUAAGGAAAUUAAGCUAUGUUGAUCAGCAGUGGUUUCGUCUAAUCUUAUAGUUAUUAAAUUAGUGGAAUAUUAACAGGCUCAUGUAUUUCCUCCGAAAAAGGAAGUUUGUGCAGCUUUUCUUUCAAACUAUGAUACAAAAUCUGGUGUGAGAGUUCCUUUUAUUGAUAAACGCAACACCAUGUCUCUCUGCUAGUCCAUUAGCAUUCUUCCAUAUUAGCAUUCUUUUUCCCGGGAUCAUAUCAAAAAGUUUGGAGCUGUCUGUUGUUAUAGUUGAAGCUGUCACUGUCAUUGUUACUGCUGCUUACUGGUGUCACUGUUGUCUAUUGCUGUUAUCAUUGCCACUGCUGCCUGCUGGUCUUGAUCUGCAGCAUUUACUGCUAGCUGGUGUAUUGUUUCUGCUUUUACUGCUAGCUAUAGCUGCUGUUAUAUUGCGCGCGCUGCUGUCAGUUUGCAACUAUGCUAACUGUUUUUGGGAAUUUGAUAGUCCAGAGACCGAAGUUGACUUUGUUUUUGUUUUGAUUAUUAGAUUGUUUAGCCAAAAAAAAAUAGUGAUUAUGAAUGUUUGUUUGUAAGGAUUAUGAAAUGUUUUUAAUUCAAAUUAUUUUCUAUUGUUCAUGUUAA